rnacentral:rRNA from 1 species
AGACCCGAAACCCGGUGAUCUAGCCAUGGGCAGGUUGAAGGUUGGGUAACACUAACUGGAGGACCGAACCGACUAAUGUUGAAAAAUUAGCGGAUGACCUGUGGCUGGGGGUGAAAGGCCAAUCAAACCGGGAGAUAGCUGGUUCUCCCCGAAAGCUAUUUAGGUAGCGCCUCGUGAAUUCAUCUCCGGGGGUAGAGCACUGUUUCGGCUAGGGGGCCAUCCCGGCUUACCAACCCGAUGCAAACUGCGAAUACCGGAGAAUGUUAUCACGGGAGACACACGGCGGGUGCUAACGUCCGUCGUGAAGAGGGAAACAACCCAGACCGCCAGCUAAGGUCCCAAAGUCAUGGUUAAGUGGGAAACGAUGUGGGAAGGCCCAGACAGCCAGGAUGUUGGCUUAGAAGCAGCCAUCAUUUAAAGAAAGCGUAAUAGCUCACUGGUCGAGUCGGCCUGCGCGGAAGAUGUAACGGGGCUAAACCAUGCACCGAAGCUGCGGCAGCGAACGUAUCACUUAAAGCGAUUCAGCGGGUUACGAUUGACGGAGCGAAGCGACGUCAAAGCGUAUACAAAGUCGAGUCGGUUUAAGGAUACGUUCGUUGGGUAGGGGAGCGUUCUGUAAGCCUGUGAAGGUGGCCUGUGAGGGUUGCUGGAGGUAUCAGAAGUGCGAAUGCUGACAUAAGUAACGAUAAAGCGGGUGAAAAGCCCGCUCGCCGGAAGACCAAGGGUUCCUGUCCAACGUUAAUCGGGGCAGGGUGAGUCGACCCCUAAGGCGAGGCCGAAAGGCGUAGUCGAUGGGAAACGGGUUAAUAUUCCCGUACUUGGUG